AUUACCGCGGCUGCUGGCAYGAAGUUAGCCGGGGCUUCUUCUGCGGGUACCGUCAUCAUCGUCCCCGCCGAAAGGGCUUUACAAUCCGAAGACCUUCUUCACCCACGCGGCAUUGCUGGAUCAGGCUUGCGCCCA
rnacentral:rRNA from 1 species